ensembl:lncRNA
ACAGGUGAAUCUGCAUUAACAUGUUAAAUUAUUUCUUUCUGCAUUGCUGCAUUGCAGUGAAGAAUCCCAUCAUCUAGGAUUCUUCAAUACAUACAUGCUGCUUGACUUUUUUUGAAUCAACGUGGGGGAUCUGGAUGCUGGUGCAGAAUUUCCUGCAUGUUUCUCAUACAGCACGCUGUUGUUCUCAUCUUCCUGGUCUUUGCUAUUGGUUGUGACCAACUGGGAUUCCGGGCUUGUGAGCUCUCAUCACCUCAUCAACACUCUGGACAGGUUGCUAAUCUGUUGCUGGCCUAAGAUGUGGCGAGAGAUAAUUUUGGAGUCAUUAGAGAAACUACAGUUUUUUGUCUAAACUUUCUGCUCCAGAGUUCACUGCUUUUUUUUUUUACAUAUGAAAUUAAUAGACAUAACUGCACUGUUUACCAAAUGUGUUGAAAUUAUGUAAUCAAGCGUGAACAUCAACGCCAGCUCCAUACUCCAGUUGAAGCAUCAGAUUUGCUGCUGAUAACUCCAGGGUUGGUAUUGUGGACAAGACUGUUCUAAACUGAACUAGAUUGAUUGUGACAUGAAAGCAACUGCAAUGCAAAUUAAGUAUGAGGAAACAAUUUAAAUUUUACCUUAGUCAUAAAAGCCAUUGAACCGUCAAUUUUGAAAACAUAAUGGAUGAAGAGUAAAAGUUGCGGAGUGGCAAGAUGAGCAGAGAUGUCAGCAGAUGAGCAAAAAAAUAAAGAUUUUCAAGUGUUCAUCAAAGUGUUAGUUUGCAAAGAAUGAGUAAAAUAUGUAAGUUAAUAAUGUCAAAUCAAAUCACUUUUAUUGUCACAUCACAUUACUGGUACACUGGUACAACACAUGUAAGUGAGAUUCUUCUGUGCAAGCUUCACAAGUAACAGUAGUGUGCAAAAAUACAAGAAAUGUAAGAAACAAGCCAAAUAUAAGAGCAGGAAUGUGAAAAUAAUGAGUGAUAUUGACCUGAGGAGUACCAACCAAAAUAACAAAGCAAUUUCACAGUUGUUGAAAAGUAUGUAUUCAAUUCAGCAUCUAUCCCAGCUAUCACAGUAUGGGAGGGCAGGUCGCCAAUCUGUCACAGGAGCAGAUUACUUUAGACAAUUUUAAAAAAUGUCAAAACAGUCUAUCUCAUUGGAAGCAAAACAUAAAGAAAUGAAGGGUGAUUUAAUACUUUUUGCACAACUGUUUUUGCACAAAAUUUCUGUUAACCCCUGAUCAACUUAUUGAAUCUUUUGAAUUUUGGGUCAUGACAUAUGUUCAACAUCCUCCUGCAAAUAUUUCUUCUGUGGCCCCAUUAGCAAUUGAUUCUCAGUUAAAAUAAGCUUAGUUUAGCUGUAAUGCACAAAUUAUUUAGUUAACUGUGUGAAGAAAGAUUGGUUAAUAAAAAGCAGCAGAAAAUUUAUAUAUUUAUCGCACAGAAGACAGUGAAAUGACAAACCGCUGGAGAAUCACGAACUACAGCUCAGAGGGCAGAGGUAUCAUGUCGGAGCUCUGCCAGUUUCUAAAGAUGUUUGUACCGGGUGGGACGAGAAAGGCUACAGAGGAAGAGAGCAGCAGCAGGAGCCCCACUCUACCAAAGAAACACUUCACACUGCAAAGCCUUUUUUUGGAGAACUUAUUUUCUCAAGACUUUAAUAGUUUUAAGACUUUGGCACUGCUUCUGUGAACUGCGUUGGACAUUUGUCAUGGCUGUGGACUGGAUGUUGAACCAGGCACAUCUAUUGUAGAGCUAACUGUAAAUUGGUGCAAAAUGAACUAAGGAUCCAUAAAAACAGUGCCAAGUGUAAAUUAUCCUCUGCUGCAUGUUAGCCAUCAACAAGAAUGAACAAAGUGUGUGCCAGUUUAUGGGCGUCAUCAGGCCAGAAGGUCUUAUCCACGCUGAAGCCAGCCACGCCUGUCUUCCAUCUAGAUUCCAGAUGCUGCUGAUCACUUUCGCAAAGUGGCUACUACUUAACUGUUUGACUGAGCUUGAGUCAAUGCUGGAUUGUUCAGUUACUGAAAACUUGGAGAGGAGUGUGUCAUGGGAUUGGAGCAUUUGUAAAUAUCAAGUGUUGGAGCUUUUUGCCUGUCACACCACGGACCACGAGCACGGAGCAGGAGUUGGGAGCACGUUCACGGAAACCACUUCUUUGAAAGCUGUUUCACGAUUGUUUACAUGUCUCACUGUAAAUAAAACGCACUGUCUUUGAUUGGAAAGUCCUGCAUUUGGGUCCCGUUCUUGCCACGCACCUUGACAUAAAUAAUAAACACAUA